rnacentral:rRNA from 1 species
CCUACGGGGAGCAGCAGUGGGGAAUAUUGCGCAAUGGGCGAAAGCCUGACGCAGCGACGCCGCGUGAGGGAUGAAGGUCUUCGGAUCGUAAACCUCUGUCAGCAGGGAAGAACGGUCACUGUGCUAAUCAGCAGUGAAUUGACGGUACCUGCAAAGGAAGCACCGGCUAACUCCGUGCCAGCAGCCGCGGUAAUACGGAGGGUGCGAGCGUUAAUCGGAAUUACUGGGCGUAAAGCGCUCGUAGGCGGUAUGUCAAGUCAAGGGUGAAAUCCCCGCGCUCAACGUGGGAACUGCCUUUGAAACUGGCAAACUGGAGUGUGUGAGAGGAUAGUGGAAUUCCAGGUGUAGGAGGGAAAGCCGUAGAUAUCUGGAGGAACAUCAGGGGCGAAGGCGACUAUCUGGCACAUAACUGACGCUGAGGAGCGAAAGCGUGGGUAGCAAACAGGAUUAGAUACCCUUGUAGUC